rnacentral:rRNA from 1 species
CUACGGGCGGCUCCAGUGAGGAAUAUUGCACAAUGGGGGAAACCCUGAUGCAGCAACGCCGCGUGGAGGAUGACGCAUUUCGGUGUGUAAACUCCUUUUAUCAGAGAAGAAAAUGACGGUAUCUGAUGAAUAAGCACCGGCUAACUCCGUGCCAGCAGCCGCGGUAAUACGGAGGGUGCAAGCGUUAUUCGGAAUCACUGGGCGUAAAGGACGCGUAGGCGGGUUAUUAAGUCAGGUGUGAAAUCCAAUGGCUCAACCAUUGAACUGCACUUGAAACUGGUAACCUAGAGUAUGGAAGGGGCAGAUGGAAUUAGUGGUGUAGGGGUAAAAUCCGUAGAUAUCACUAGGAAUACCGAAAGCGAAGGCGAUCUGCUGGGACAUUACCGACGCUGAGGCGUGAAAGCGUGGGGAGCAAACAGGAUUAGAUACCCCGGUAGUC